UUUCACGUAAAAUAAAAACAGAGUUUUCUUCUUGUUAGCAAUGCUUCAUAUAGUAGGUCUGAAGAUCACUGACAGGCUGUGUUACUUAAUAAUUUUUUUCAAUUGACCUUUCGCAAAACCCCGCCCCCAAACGGUCAUUGUCCAAUCAUACAUCCUAGCAACCGUUACUAUGUAAACAAGGUCCGACAAACAAAGUCCGACAAGCAAAAUGGUGAAGCGAUGUGCCUAUGGCGUAUGUGAAUCGGACAGUAGGUACCCAAAGAGUUUGGCUGGUUGAGUCGUGUUCUUUCCUUUUCCAAAGCCGAAAACACAACAGGAGCGGUGCCUACGAUGGAUCAAACAGUGUGGAAGGCCCCACUCCCAGCUAAAUGUCACGAAAAUAAACAAGCAUGCAUACGUCUGCUCCAAGCAUUUUGUGAAUGGACAGCCUACCCCUGAGUAUCCCGACCCUGUACUUGCUGUACAAGUGUCGAACCAGACUAGGGAGCAGCUCGGAGGCUGUCGAAAGCCACCCCAAAAACGAUGCAGAUUAAGUGUGCAGGAUGCCUCUGGCUCCACCUCCAGCACUGAUGAUGCAGACGAGACUCAACAGUAUAUUGUUGACAGUGGUGAGUGAUAAGCCUUUUUCAAGUUAAUACUGGCGUAACAGGAGUGGAAUAGCCUACCCAAUCCCAUUACCUCUGUAUUGUGUUGAAUGAUAGAAUAGGCAGCAAGAUGUUUCAGACAGUGAAUAAGUUCCUUUAUUGGCACUUUCAUUCUCUGUUCAGAGGUCAAAACAAACAAGAAGAACAAAGAAACAAGAGAACAAAAUAAGAGUCCAUACAUACAUACAGU
rnacentral:lncRNA from 1 species